rnacentral:rRNA from 1 species
CCCCUUAGAUGGUCUGGGCGGCACGCGCGCUACAAUGAUGCAUUCAAAAAGUCUUCUGACCUUAGAAGGUUGGGUAUUCUCCAAAGUGCAUCGUGAUGGGAAUAGUUUAUUGCAAUUUUUAAUCUUGAACGAGGAAUUCCUAGUAAGUACAGGUCAUCAACUUGUGUUGAUUACGUCCCUGCCCUUUGUACACACCGCCCGUCGCUCCUACUGAUUGAGUGUCUCGGUGAAUUCUUUGAUCUUCUGUCGAUUCAGUUCACUGAUCCGACGGUGGAAAGUUGAAUGAACUUCGUCACUUAGAGGAAGGAGAAGUCGUAACA